UCGGUCCGGGUCGGGUCGGGUCUGGUCUGGUCGGGUCGGGUCUCCGCCAGUGAACAAUAGAGAGAGGUCUUGCAAAGGCGUAGGCUGGCACUCAAGCAAGCUCGUCACCGCAUUAGCCUUUACUGCAGGCUCCCUGGUGCCUGCCCUACGUGAGGGCACAGUAGGACGCAACGAGGAAGGACGGAGGAAAGAACGUAACUGGGAAGAAAGCCGAGAGAGAGAGAGUGAGAGAGGGAGAGAGAGAGAGAGAGAGAGAGAGAGGGAGCGAGUGAGUGACUGAGUUGAGAGGAAAAGUUUUUAAGUGGGGGCGUUUAUUUUAUUGAUUGAUGUGUUAGCAUAAGGUUUUCCAGGCGCGUGUAGUAGGGGAGGGCUUGUGAAUGGGAGUAGAAAUUCGGGAGUUGAGAAAGGUGAGUGGAUCCUUUUAUGCUGUGGUGAAGGUCUGGAGGUGACGAGGGGUGAUCGUUUUCACCUAGUUUAGACUGGGAGGGUGGGAGACGUGAGAGACCAAGCCAGUGGGCUUGGGCUGUGGCGGUUACAGGAUCUUUUGCGCAGUUGGAACAGUGAGACAUGGGAUAUGCGCGGCGGAUGGUGUCGAUGAGAGUGGUAUGCGUGUGAGUUGCCUUGGAUCACCGCGACGGGGUGGAGGGUGGACUGACGCUGUCUUGCGGAGGUGGGUAGAUUGGUAGUAGAGGUUCGUCGAGUGAACAGGUCUCGCUAAAGGAGAGGGUGGUUCUUCUGCCUUCGCUCGUGAGUUGGGUGUGUGGAACUGACUCGACAGGAUGCAAAACACGGGGCAAUAUGGAGUCUCGGACUCGCCACAGUUUGUGGUGGGGAGACCGCCUCCUCACAUAUUCGCAAUCUCGCAUGACAAUAUGUCCAUUUCGACUUCCUCAGCUGGUCAUCCGCUCCCUGGCCAUCACCAGCAACAACAUCACCUCCCCCAUCACUUGCAAGCACAACACCACCACUACGGCCCACACCCGGGUCACCAGCCUCAUCCUAGCUUACAAGCUCACCAGCAAAUCCACCAAACGCAGUCCUCUCAUGCUACCCACGCCCCACACCCUCAACACCCGCAAUUCCCGCUGGCGCAACACCCACAAGCCCAGCAGCAGCAACAGCAGCAGCAGCAGCAGCAACAACCUGCCCAAGCUCAUGUUUCAUCUACUCAUCAGGAUGUUGCUCAGCACCAGCAGCAUCAACAGGCUCAACAGCAGAAGCAACAACAAGCCCAGCAACAGGCGCAGCAGAUAGCUCAACAAGCUCAGCAAGCCCAGCAACAAGCGCAACAGGCGCAGCAGCAGAUGGUGCAGCAGUUAGGUUUGGGGGGUCCAGACUCGCCGGAGGUUCCUUCGCCGGGGGUGAGUCGACCCUCGCCCACGAAUUACAGCCAGCAGCAGAUUGUUAACCCGGCGCAGGAUGACGAUGGUCUUGAGGAGGAGGGGAGGAGUACAGGCGGCAAUCGGUGGCCCAGGCAGGAAACUCUUGCGCUCAUAAAGAUCCGGUCGGACAUGGAUGCUAACUUCCGGGAUUCUGGACUGAAGGGACCGCUCUGGGAAGACGUUUCAAAAAAGCUUGCCGAGCUUGGGUACAGUAGAAGUGCAAAGAAAUGCAAGGAAAAAUUUGAGAAUGUGCACAAGUAUUACAAGAAGACUAAGGAUGGUAGGGCUGGGAGGCAAGAUGGGAAAAGCUACCGGUUCUUUAGUCAACUGGAAGCUCUAUAUGGGGGACAGCAGACUUCUGCGCAAUUGGAGAGUAAUGCUGCAGUUGUGGCAGCUGCCAAUCUCCUCACAGGAUCCGCUAUUCCAGGCAAAGUCGUAAACGAGGAUUACAAUGUCUCGACUCAGAGGCCGUCAGAAGUUAGUACAGGUGUGACACUAUCAGAGUCGUCUGAGGAUGAUUACGACGAGCCUGGGGGUGGUGAAGCUGAUAACCAGGAGAAGUCGUCGAAGAAAAGGAAGCGUAUGGAAGGGGGGAAGUCUGGGACGUCCAAGCUCGACUUUUUUGAGUCGCUGAUGAAGAAUCUAAUGGAUAAACAGGAAAGUAUGCAGCGGAAGUUCUUGGAAUUCAUGGAAAGGCGGGAGCAAGACAGACAGGUCUGGGAGGAAGCGUGGAGACGGCAGGAAAUGACCCGCUUGGCGCGGGAGCAUGAGCUGCGGGCUCAAGAGCAAGCCCUAGCUGCAACGAGAGACGCGGCCUUGGUGGCUUUCUUGCAGAAGGUAACUGGGCAAACCCUCCAGCUCCCGCAGUUCCCUACGCGACCUCCCGUAGUCGCCGUUCCUCCGUCGAUAGAUUCCGUAGUGGCUGCUCAAAAGCAUCAGCCUACCCCUCCUCCUACUACUUCAGCACCUGCUGUUCCUCCUACCACUACUUCUCAACAACUAGUAGUUUCCAAUGUAGACGACCAUGACAAGGAUUCCCCUAUAGAUCCCAACAGUAAGAGGUGGCCGAAACCGGAAGUUCUAACACUGAUUAAAUUGCGGAGCGACAUGGAGACGAGGUUUCAGGAGGCGGGGCCGAAGGGUCCACUGUGGGAGGAGAUUAGUCAGGGUAUGGCUUGUUUGGGAUACAACAGGAACCAGAAGAGAUGUAAAGAGAAAUGGGAGAACAUCAACAAGUAUUUUAGAAAGACUAAGGAGAGUAAUAAGAAGCGACCUGAAAAUGCCAAGACUUGUCCUUAUUUCCAUCAAUUAGAGGUAUUGUAUCGUCAAGGUGUUCUCGGUACCCCCAGCAAUAAGCAGGCGGCGAAGGCGGCCGACUCGCCGGCCCGUGACUUUGUUGACCACCAAGCUGUGCCCUUGGCCCAUCGGACCGAAGCUGCAGCUGGUGCCAAAGCAGGCGACUCGGAGAUGCUGAAGAUGCUCCCUGCGGCUGCGGAGGCCGUGCAGAAUGCGGCCUCCUCUGGAAACGGCACUCCGAGCGCCGCUGCGCAUUUCUUCUCCAGCCCUGAGAAUGGGAGCAGUGCAGAGCGCGGCGGUCCCAAGCAAGGUUCAGAGCCAUCUCUGUGAAGAAGGUUUACUAUUUUGGCGAUAAGUCCACAACAAUGCUGUUUUUCUAACGGCGUGGGGUUGGUCUCCUCACUUCCAAAGCAUCAUAUUUUGGUCCGUGUGUAAGCCUUUCUCAUGAUCUCCCGAUGUCUAGUUCCACGAGCACCUGAAGAGUAAAAAAUGGUUUGGCUUCGGUAGUCAUCCGCAGACAUUCAAUGGGUUAUACAUCACUGUACCAAUCCGAGCUGGUGGAUUGGGAUGCAUACGGUUUAAAAUUUGGGGUUUCUUCUGUAUCAUCUAUUUCGGAUCGCGGCGCCUAGCGUGUGUGAAUCUCUGAGCUUUGGAGACCAAGGGGAGGCAAGAGGCGGCGGAGGCCGCUUGGACAAAUACGAAUAAGUGCGUACGACGCCCUCCUUGCUUUGCUUUCUGUGACCAGCCAGAGAAGAGUAGAAGGUAGGAAGUGGAGGUUGCAUUCUGUAACAUACAUGUACCAGUAGCGUUGGAUAGGAAUCCAACUGAGCGUGCUGCUGUGAGAUGUCCCUUAGGGUUUGGGAGUACAGAAAUUAAUAAGUCAGACACUCUGGUGUUACAUGUUAGCUAGAAUAUCAGGAUGGGUUUGUGAACAAAUGGGUUCCGCGUUCCUUUUAGUUGCAGAUACAGAAGAACUUGCUUCGAGGACCACGCACACUAGUCUAUUCACUUAGCGCACAGAAUCUUUCAUAUUCUUGCGUCUCCCAUUUUGAGGGUUCUUCGGUUACCUAUAGAGUUUCAGCUGGUUGCUGAUCAUCACCAGAACUCGGAUUUUCUUACGAAGUUCGUAAUGCUCUGUACGUGCAUUCUAUUCUGGAAUCUAUGGAACUGCUUGCAAAUUCGACAUUGGCAUACCCCAUCCCUGUGUCUGAUGUAUAUUGCAAGGGCGCAGUAGAGGCGCUGUUACAUGUUUGUAAGUUGUUUGUUUGUUUGUUUUAUUUGUUUUUUAAAAUAUAUUUAAAAAUUCCUUAUUAGUUCUGUUGUCUGGGACAUGUGUGACUUGUUCUGAGGUUUUGUCUUACUCGAAGUCAUGAACAAAGGACCACUACCAAAAACAAAGAAAGUGAAACGUACGGUCUGGGAAGUUAUCAUGCUUGUUGGGCUGCAUCAACCUGAAGGGGAAGCACGUUGAGGGAUAUCGGCUUUCAGGAAUCGAUUCUUCCGCAGGCCUCUCCCGUCCCGAAAAGUUUAAAAGAAGUUGUCGAAGGUGCACGGCACAUCUACUCUUGAAGUGAAAACGAGAUUGAAGUCAAUCAACGUCCCUAGAACAAAAUACAGUUGACCUCUCGUAUAUAACCAAAAUUCGAAAAAGCUCACAUGCUGUCGAUCGAUCAAUUCGCUUGGUUGGUGGUAUCGAGUACUCCCAAGAGAGCUUCAAUAUUCUGAAGUGAGAAAGCUCCUUCCAGCAAGAAUUUGAAACUGACUCAACAGAGUCUCAGGCAGGGGAGUUCCGAAGAUCAUAAACCACCUAGUAGCAAAAUCAGCAACAGACCAUUUGGGUUAAAAAUCAACUCAUAGAUGGUCCGCGUGAGUAUUUUUGGAACGGGAGGGAUAGUGGGAUAGAAGUAGAGCUGGAACGCCUUGCGAGUCUCGGAAAGGUUUUCGUACACGCCCAGGUUGAGUGUGUAAGAGAGUCAAAGUACCCUGAUAAUAUGCAUUUUGACAGUAAGCUGCAGCUUGAAAUGCAAGAAAAUGCAAAAGUCCGUUACGUCAAAGACUUCACACUGGUGAAUAAAAAUUGUAAAAAAACACACAUUACCUUCCCAA